AAAGCCAAAGCUCCUGCCAAAGAAAUGUGUGGAGCAGAAAAGAAAACCCAGAGCAGAAUGUCAAGAGCAAGGAUGUGUUGGGACAGGAAAUGAAGACGAGAUUGGGAGAGGUCAUGCAGAAUCAGGUCACAUUCUGGAGGGAAGAAGGAGCAAAGGCACAUGAUGAGAGAGUGCUAAUUAAGGUGGCCAAAGAGAACAGUGUGGUGCUGUAAAUGCCGGCAGAGCAAGGAGCCCUGCUGCCAGCCUGACCCAACACAGUCACGUUGAUGAAAAUGGAAAAGGAUGGCUGGAGGCCUUCAGUUGCAAAGUUCUCCAUUGUCAGAUUACGCUGCCUGAUGGGCAUGAAAAGUCCACAAAAGAGAAUUUUCUGAUGUGAGAAUGGAGGGUGUUGCCUGCAACUACCCCAGAUCCCUGCGGUGGCAGUUUAAGCCGCCUCCUGGAGCAGAUUGUUAAGCUGAUGCGAGUCUGGGCUCUGCCUCACCACUUGUCUCAGAGACAGAGUCUUGCUCUGUCACCUAGGCUGGAGUGCAGUGGUGCCAUCACAGCUCACUGCAGCCUCGACCUCCCCGUGCUCAAGUGAUCCUCACACCUCAGCCUCCCGAGUAGCCGCGAUCACAAGAAAGACCUGAUGUCAUAUGGAAGCCAAGAAGAAACUCUUGUCCAAUUUGUAGGGAAAGCAGAGAGACAGAGAGACAGAGAGAGCUUCAGCUUGGUUUCAAAACAAGGAUGGAAAUACAGAACAACUUAAGUUACCAGCACACUUCAUAACAAUUAAAAAUCAUCUCGCUUCUUCCUUCUGCCAGCAUAAUUUUGGGCUCACAGGUGGAUUGACCUGACCUCCAAGAAAUGUGUGACAAGGACUCGCCCCUUACCUCCUCAGUUACAGCACGUUUGGUGUUUAUGUGAAGCUGGUGGCUUUCAGUAUCAUGGUGAAAAUUUUCUUUUAGGUCAUAAUUGCUUAACUACAAUGAAAAGUAUUGAUUUUGGAAAAGGCUCAUCUUCCCAAAGAGGUUCACUUCAGGAGGUGAAUUAAUGUGCUCCAGGG
rnacentral:lncRNA from 10 species